rnacentral:rRNA from 1 species
UACGUAGGGUGCAAGCGUUAAUCGGAAUUACUGGGCGUAAAGCGUGCGCAGGCGGUUUUGUAAGUCAGAUGUGAAAUCCCCGGGCUUAACCUGGGAACUGCGUUUGAAACUACAAGGCUAGAGUGUGGCAGAGGGGGGUGGAAUUCCACGUGUAGCAGUGAAAUGCGUAGAGAUGUGGAGGAACACCGGAUGGCGAAGGCAGCCCCCUGGGGUUAACACUGACGCUCAGGCACGAAAGCGUGGGGAGCAAACAGG